rnacentral:lncRNA from 1 species
UACCUAAAUAGCCACACUACACCACCCUGGGAAUAUUAAACUAGAGCCCAAUUAGGCACACCAUCCUUUGAAACACAUGUUCAAACACACCACACAGGAGUCAUGAAUCCCAUAAUCAUAUGUUUAUUAGAGAACUUGAAUAAGCAUGCUUGCAAGGAAGAGGCGGACCUAGAGAGACUUUAGACGGUUAGCCAAAAGUAGACAAUGUUCAUACCCUAAGUUUACCUUUAAAAUCAGGGCCCAAACCGACAGCACUGUUAUACCACCACUGGAAAACACUCAAGGGUGGGGAAUGACUAAAAAAUCAUGAAAACAAAAGCUAUAUAGACGGGGCAUUGAAGUAACGAAAUCACAUUUUGUACUUGUUCAAUUUUAGAUGCUAAAAGCACAGGUGGAACAACCUCACCCCUCUGCAUCACAAGUUUAAUUUCUGUACUUUUGCUAGUGCUGCUUUUGGGAGGACUUGCAUUCACCUUCUGGAGAUAUAAAGGUACAAACACGUAAAAAUAUAUUCUCUCUCUCUUUUUCUCUCGUUCACUAUAAGGUGACUGAUAGUAUUGUUACUGCUGCUAUCAUUUCAUUCUGUGUGUGUUGUUUCCUCAUGUGUGUCCGUGGUAUUGUGCUUUCCUCAGGACAGAGGGAGAGGCAGAUGGGGAAUGACAACAGACAAAGAAGGGGCACAGACCAAGAACGUGAUAUGUCGGCCACAUCAACAUAUGAAGUUCUUCAGCAUCGCUACAGUGCAGGGCAGAUGUACUCAACCAUUGGGAUGAACACUGGAGUGAAGGUGGGUGCUGAAUAUGUGCGUGCUGUUUGUGUGUGUUUCUUUCACAUGCUUUUGAAUGGAAAAUAUACUGGAAUAUGAGAGCCAAACCGUUGUAAGCCUUAAUCUAGUUUUGAACUUGAAGCACUCUUUAGUCUGUCUGUCUGCUCAUGCUCCUUGACUGCCUGUCUGUCUGCGCAUGCUCCUUGACUGCCUGUCUGCGCAUGCUCCUUGACUGCCUGUCUGUCUGCGCAUGCUCCUUGACUGCCUGUCUGUCUGCGCAUGCUCCUUGACUGCCUGUCUGUCUGCGCAUGCUCCUUGACUGCCUGUCUGUCUGCGCAUGCUCCUUGACUGCCUUCGCCAUGUGUUCAUGUGCUCACCUCAUUAUCUGCCUCUUCAUUCGUAUCCUCGAGCUUCUCUUAAAAAUCAGUGAGUGAAUGUGCCAGUGUCCGGGGAGAGAAUAGGACCGGCUGGAAGAGAAGCACCAGUUGAUUUGACUACAACAUGCUUCAUGCUGAAGGGCAGGAGGGUGCUGCAAGCUUUUCUGUCUCUGCUUCCUAACGCCCCCUUCUGGCCGUAGCAGUCAGCACAAUUUUGCCAGUUUAACCUACCAACCAGAUAAGCAGUAUUGGUCAAUCCAGACAAUCUAUGGACAUUGCUGUUUAAUCUUCGAUAACACUUGUGCUUCUACAUUUGGCUAUACUGAGAUAUGGGUAUAUAAGGUAAUACGAAUAUAAUUAUAUAAUAAAUAGUUCAAGUUCAAGUUCA